UACGUAGGGGGCGAGCGUUGUCCGGAGUUACUGGGCGUAAAGCGCACGCAGGCGGUCUGCUAAGUUUGGAGUGACAGUUGGUGGCUUAACUGCCAAAGUGCUUCGAAAACUGAGAGACUUGAGGGCUUCAGAGGGACACGGAAUUCCGGGAGGAGUGGUGAAAUGCGUAGAGAUCCGGAGGAACACCAAAGGCGAAGGCAGUGUCCUGGGGAGUACCUGACGCUCAGGUGCGAAAGCCAGGGGAGCGAACGGG
rnacentral:rRNA from 1 species